rnacentral:misc_RNA from 1 species
AAGGUGGGGCUGAUGACUGGGGUGAAGUCGUAACAAGGUAGCCGUACCGGAAGGUGCGGCUGGAUCACCUCCUAACAGGGAGACAAACAACGAUUUUGAUGUCUGAGUUUUUUUAUUCUUAGGCCAAAAUCCUGUCACCUUAGGUCGAUCGGUACCUCAACUUUGAAUCUAAGAGUAUUCAGCAAUGGAUAUCUGCUUAGUGGAGAUUUUUAGUUCCUAAACUUUGUCUAGUUCACAACCCAUUAGGGAUGAGACUCCUGGGCCAUUAGCUCAGGUGGUUAGAGCGCACCCCUGAUAAGGGUGAGGUCCCUGGUUCAAGUCCAGGAUGGCCCAUUCGGUGUAGGGGGUUUAGCUCAGUUGGUAGAGCGCCUGCUUUGCAAGCAGGAUGUCAGGAGUUCGAGUCUCCUAACCUCCACUGACUACCAAAAUCCCCAUCUCCAAAACCUGGAGUAUGAACUCGUAUGGAUUGUGAUUUAGAUGUGUCCGCUAGAUGACCCUAGCUUCUUGUCAUUUUAAGGCAUGGAAAAAAUUCCAUGAUAUUUAAUUGAUAGGAUGCUGGGCUCGAUUCAAUGUAUUGAGAGAUCAAUGCAUUGUUUUGAUGUCUGGUCGAACCUUGACAACUGCAUAGUAAGUCUGGAAAGAAUAAAGCAUCUUUAUGGAUGCAUCAUUCUUGAGUGUUAAUUCACGAUGGGAUGGUGUUAAUUCUAAAGCAAGAGCCGAGACUCCAGCAUGUUCUUUCAAAUGUGUCGAGCAUUUGAGAGUUUGAUUUUAAUUUCUAUUUUUAGAAGUUAGAAGAAUCUGUUUCAACGACAGCAAGCGUGUUGGAGAUACAUUGGUCAAGCUAC